rnacentral:rRNA from 1 species
AACGAACGCUGGCGGCAGGCCUAACACAUGCAAGUCGAACGCUGUAGCAAUACAGAGUGGCAGACGGGUGAGUAACACGUGGGAACGUACCUUUCGGUUCGGAAUAACUCAGGGAAACUUGAGCUAAUACCGGAUACGUGCGAGAGCAGAAAGAUUUAUCGCCGAAAGAUCGGCCCGCGUCCGAUUAGCUUGUUGGUGAGGUAAUGGCUCACCAAGGCGACGAUCGGUAUCUGGUCUGAGAGGAUGAUCAGCCACACUGGGACUGAGACACGGCCCAGACUCCUACGGGAGGCAGCAGUGGGGAAUAUUGGACAAUGGGCGAAAGCCUGAUCCAGCCAUGCCGCGUGAGUGAUGAAGGCCCUAGGGUUGUAAAGCUCUUUCGCCAGGGACGAUAAUGACGGUACCUGGAUAAGAAGCCCCGGCUAACUUCGUGCCAGCAGCCGCGGUAAU